ACUGAAGACGCCACCGUCGUGGAGUUUGCACUCGUUGCUAGGCAACGAUAUACUCGGGAUAACGAUAUCUCGGGAUAUAGCUGAAUAUUACAUUCUCCAGGUAGAACAAAAUAAACAAAUUUCUGAUAGACAUCUGACUCAUCUUCUGUUUUCGCGUCAAUCCUCGGCUGAAGGGAUAAUCAAUGAGUAAAUGGACAAGGACACAUGCAGGUAUUCAGCACAGGUGCAAUCUUUGAUGGUCAAGUCCCGGGAUUAAUACUUUCCAAUUUGAUAGCGGAAACUAUCAAAUCAUCUUCUCGGUGAAAAUGAAUUCCAUCUCUCAACACAUGAAAAACUCCACCUCGAAUAACCCAAGCAGAAUGUCGAGGAAUUCCCCGCCCCGAAGGAAUUUCUUCUACCAUCGACUGCUUAUUGGACUCAUCACUCAGAUAAUCACAUAAUUGACAGAUAUUAUUUCCCAAGGACAAGAAAAUGAUAGUUUGCUUCAACGUUCUAGAGCAAUAAAUCUCGUCAUAGUACCUCAUUUACUCUGAAAGUUAUCUAUUCUCUUCAAAAUCAUAAAGCUACAUCCUAGAAAGUUGGAAAGAAAAGCCAAUCACUCGUCCAUCUGCACUCAUAGAAGAAAGUCAAAUUUACAAGAAAAAAAAGCCUCAAAGAGAUUAAACUGCUUAGGGACUCGGGGUCCUCGUGGAUCUGUACCAAAAAAUCAUUUUUACAGACAACAAAAUUCAAAGCUGUCACCUAGGCGUUAUCGAUAACUCGUGAUAAUGGCUAUUAACACCUCUACCAAAGUAAAUAAAUACUCACUUCAAACUUGAUACCAUGAAUAAUUCGCAUCUGUUUGAGAAACGUUGAUUUACCACUUUCACCAGCACCGAGUAACAGUAGCUUGACCUGUCUCCUGAAUGCCUGUCUAUCCUUCUCAAGCAUCCUAUCAAUCUCCUGACUCUUGUACCUCUGCUCAAUCUCUUCAGGACUGAAUUUGAAUCUCAAACAACAAGUGCACGACCACGUUAAGGAGCCCGCCAUCUUAGACCCCUUCAAUCUCCCUUCACAAAAACAAUUAAAAUAUUUUUUUUUUCAAUCACUCAUUCACGUACUUUUAUCUGCCAGUGGUAUUCACGAUGUGAUACAUAUUCAUGGUGAUUUUUUUUCCAACAUUUUGCGAUGAUAAAGCCACUAACAUUUGGGGUAUUAAUAAUAGUAAAACUAUUUCAUGCGUAUUUAACCUCUUUUAGGGUAAAUGCAGGUGACUUCAUGUCGACAUUUCACCUGGGCGUUCACUUCCACAUAUUACCAAUUUGCAUGAAAAAAACUCCACUAUUUUUUUUUAAACAGUCCCCGAGAUUUAUUUAAUUUUUGUUUACAGUAAACGAUUAUUAAACUCUAGUUUAGAUAUUUUUUCAUCCAUUUUUAUGUGAAAUUAAUUGUCAUGUGAAUCUUCUUUGAUGUCUUGAGGAUGUGGAAAUUAUUGAAUAAUCACUUCGGGGUUAAUUGGAGGGGAUUUGAGUGAGUUUAAAG